rnacentral:rRNA from 1 species
GACGAACGCUGGCGGCGUGCUUAACACAUGCAAGUCGAACGGAAAGGCCCUGCUUUUGUGGGGUGCUCGAGUGGCGAACGGGUGAGUAACACGUGAGUAACCUGCCCUUGACUUUGGGAUAACUUCAGGAAACUGGGGCUAAUACCGGAUAGGAGCUCCUGCUGCAUGGUGGGGGUUGGAAAGUUUCGGCGGUUGGGGAUGGACUCGCGGCUUAUCAGCUUGUUGGUGGGGUAGUGGCUUACCAAGGCUUUGACGGGUAGCCGGCCUGAGAGGGUGACCGGCCACCUUGGGCCUGAGCUACGGCCCAGCCUCCUACGGGCGGCAGCAGUGGGGAAUAUUGCACAAUGGGCGGAAGCCUGAUGCAGCACCGCCGCGUGCGGGAUGACGGCCUUCGGGUUGUAAACCGCUUUCGCCUGUGACGAAGCGUGAGUGACGGUAAUGGGUAAAGAAGCACCGGCUAACUACGUG